AUCGGGAAGGGAUCGGCCCGCGUUGGAUUAGGUAGUUGGUGGGGUAAUGGCCUACCAAGCCGACGAUCCAUAGCUGGUUUGAGAGGAUGAUCAGCCACACUGGGACUGAGACACGGCCCAGACUCCUACGGGAGGCAGCAGUGGGGAAUCUUAGACAAUGGGCGCAAGCCUGAUCUAGCCAUGCCGCGUGAGCGAUGAAGGCCUUCGGGUUGUAAAGCUCUUUCGGCUGGGAAGAAAUCGCACAGGCUAAUACUCUGUGUGGAUGACGGUACCAGCAUAAGAAGCACCGGCUAACUACGUG
rnacentral:rRNA from 1 species